rnacentral:tRNA from 1 species
GGAAGCGCAUCGGGGCUGGUGUCUCGCCCGGACUUCAAAUCCGGUGGUGGUCGGUGAAAGCCGGGCACGGUGGGUUCGAUUCCCACUCGCUUCCGCCA